rnacentral:rRNA from 1 species
GACGAACGCUGGCGGCGUGCUUAACACAUGCAAGUCGAGCGGUAAGGCCCUUUCGGGGGUACACGAGCGGCGAACGGGUGAGUAACACGUGGGUGACCUGCCUUUAGCUCUGGGAUAAGCCUGGGAAACUGGGUCUAAUACCGGAUAUGACUCCAUGAUGCAUGUUGUGGGGUGGAAAGCCUUGUGCGGCUGAAGAUGGGCCCGCGGCCUAUCAGCUUGUUGGUGGGGUGAUGGCCUACCAAGGCGA